GGAGAAGCUGGCAGCUUUCCCCACAGAGCUGGACACACACAUGUUCAGGACUCAGAACUGAAGAAAGAUCCCGGGGAGUGAAAGUGCUGCAGGCCUGGGUGAAGUCCACAGAAACAAAUGACCGUGGAAACUUCCUGCUGCGAUGGAGAAACGAUGGCUCAUUGUGUCUGCAUCCCUGAGCUUUCACCUGGAAGAGGCACCGACCUUGUGCGGGUAAGUCUGCAGACUUCCAUUGUUGAAGAUAUAUUUCACUCCGAAUAGUGAAUCAGAGUGAGAUGAAACAUCUGGCUAAUAAAAUGUCUCAAACCUCAAACCACUUU